GCAUAGCCGCGUGCGAUUUUGGCAAUGUGAGCGCUUCCACUUGGCGCGCAAAUAUUAACAAUGGCAUCAAGGACGCUUUUUGUUAAGGAUACAGUUCGUAUUCUCGUGGCCAGGGCACGGCAGUCUUUACUCCACACAGUCGCCGAACACGGACACAUGGCGACGCGAAUGCGUGAACAAAGCCCAUGAUUCACGAAUGCAGACAGGUUCACGCCCAGGUUUUGCCCAGUUUCUUACCAAAAAGUUGGUUUGGCGUAAACUCAUCACUGUAUUUGUGUGUAGCAUGACAACUAUUCACUGUGGCUCUGUACUCUAAUUAUUAUAA